rnacentral:ncRNA from 20 species
GCCGAGUGGGCGACUAAUACAAUACCCGAAAGGGGAAUAUGUCCAGCUGACUUACUGCAGCCUUCGAACCACUUGGCGCCCAACU